AUCUACAUGUGUACCGAGUUUCAGAUGUAUACGUGCAAGUAUGCAUGAUAUAUGGCCCUCAAUAUUCCAGGGGGCGCUGUGGAGCCCCUGUGCCACGCCCGUGUAUCAGUCUCUGCCCGGUCCUAAUGGCCGCAGAUUCCAAGGUGUGUGCCAAUUUUCAAGACUUUUUAAGCAUGUUAAGGGCCUCAAAAGCCCCCGAACCCUUGGAAAAAAAUUAGAGGAAUAAAGAAAGAAAAAAAAAAAAAAUAAUCCUAAGGAAAACAAUAGGGCUCUUCGCCCUCCAGGCUUGAGCCCUAAUUAAAGCUGCAAGCAGCGAUGAACGGGCCCUCGCACCCAGGCUCACCACCACCGGGUGGCUUUUGUAAAACAGCGAACGGCCAGAUAUAUGCGUUUAAUGUGGUAAAUAUAAGAGGAAUAUGUCAAAGUCAUAUAUAUGUGCCAGUCUUCCUGCUGCCAGCUGGUGGCGCUAUGACUAUAACUGGAUUUUGUCAUGAGGAUUUCUUCAGUCCAG
ensembl:lncRNA